rnacentral:rRNA from 1 species
UGCGGCGGAUUAGCUAGUUGGUGGGGUAACGGCCUACCAAGGCGAUGAUCCGUAGGGGGCGUGAGAGCGUGGCCCCCCACACUGGCACUGAGAUACGGGCCAGACUCCUACGGGAGGCAGCAGUGAGGAAUAUUGCACAAUGGGCGCAAGCCUGAUGCAGCAACGCCGCGUGCGGGACGAAGGCCUUCGGGUCGUAAACCGCUUUUCUGGGGAAAGAGCAAGGACGGUACCUCAGGAAUAAGUCUCGGCUAACUACGUGCCAGCAGCCGCGGUAAAACGUAGGAGGCGAGCGUUAUCCGGAUUUACUGGGCGUAAAGCGCACGCAGGCGGCUCCGUGAGUCGGACGUGAAAGCUCUCGGCUUAACCGGGAGAGGCCGUUCGAUACUGCGGGGCUUGAGGUAGGGAGAGGAAUGCGGAAUUCCCGGUGUAGUGGUGGAAUGCGUAGAUAUCGGGAGGAACACCUGUGGCGAAAGCGGCAUUCUGGCCCUCACCUGACGCUGAGGUGCGAAAGCGUGGGUAGCAAACAGGAUUAGAUACCCUGGUAGUCCACGCCGUAAACGAUGUCAACUGGGUGUCGGUAGUUUUACACUAGCGGUGCCGAAGCUAACGCG